AGGACGAACGCUGGCGGCGUGCUUAACACAUGCAAGUCGAACGAGACCUUCGGGUCUAGUGGCGCACGGGUGCGUAACGCGUGGGAAUCUGCCCUUAGGUUCGGAAUAACAGUUAGAAAUGACUGCUAAUACCGGAUAAUGUCUUCGGACCAAAGAUUUAUUGCCUAAGGAUGAGCCCGCGUAAGAUUAGCUUGUUGGUGAGGUAAAGGCUCACCAAGGCGACGAUCUUUAGCUGGUCUGAGAGGAUGAUCAGCCACACUGGGACUGAGACGACGGCCCAGACUCCGUACGGGAGGCAGCAGGUGGGGAAUAGUUGGACAAGUGGGACGAAAGCCUGAUCCGAGCAAUGCCGCGUGAGCGAUGGAAGGUCCGUUAAGGUAGUAAAGCUUACCGUUUACCGGGAUGAUAAUGAC
rnacentral:rRNA from 1 species